UACGUAGGGGGCAAGCGUUGUCCGGAUUUACUGGGCGUAAAGCGCGCGUAGGCGGAACGUUAAGUCCGGUCUGAAAGCCCCCGGCUCAACCGGGGAGGGUGGCUGGAAACUGGCGUUCUUGAGGGCGAGAGAGGAGGGUGGAAUUCCUGGUGUAGCGGUGAAAUGCGCAGAUAUCGGGAGGAACACCAAUGGCGAAGGCAGCUCGCUGGGACGGUACUGACGCUGAGACGCGAAAGCGUGGGGAGCAAACAGG
rnacentral:rRNA from 1 species